GCCAUCGUUUACUAGAAAAUCGUUAUCCUACUCGGAUAACUGUGGCAAUUCUAGAGCUAAUACGUGCAAAAAAGCUCGUGCCGAAAGGAAUGAGCGCAUUUAUUAGAAUAAAAACCAAUCGGGUGGUAAAAAGCCCGCGUUUUGGUGAAUCUGAAUAACUUUGCCGAUCGCACGGUCUUAGUACCGGCGACGUAUCUUUCAAGUGUCUGCCUUAUCAACUGUCGAUGGUAGGUUAUACGCCUACCAUGGUAGUAACGGGUAACGGAGAAUAAGGGUUCGACUCCGGAGAGGGAGCCUGAGAAACGGCUACCACAUCCAAGGAAGGCAGCAGGCGCGCAAAUUACCCACUUCCAGAACGGAGAGGUAGUGACGAAAAAUAACGAGACAGUCCUCUUCGAGGUCUGUCAUCGGAAUGGGUACAAUUUAAAUCCUUUAACGAGGAUCUAUUGGAGGGCAAGUCUGGUGCCAGCAGCCGCGGUAAUUCCAGCUCCAAUAGCGUAUAUUAAAGUUGUUGCGGUUAAAACGCUCGUAGUUGGAUCUGCGGCCUGGGAGAACGGUCCCCCGAAAGGGUGGUAACUGUUACUCUUAGCCUAAAUUUUUAGUCCGCUCUAUAGUGCCUUUAAUCGGGUGCUUAGAGUGACUAGAACGUUUACUUUGAAAAAAUUAGAGUGCUUAAAGCAGGCGAAAUCGCCUGAAUAAGGUGCAUGGAAUAAUGGAAUAGGACCUCGGUUCUAUUUUGUUGGUUUUCGGAGCCUGAGGUAAUGAUUAAGAGGAACAGACGGGGGCAUUCGUAUUCCGGCGCUAGAGGUGAAAUUUUCAUUAAUCAAGAACGAAAGUUAGAGGUUCGAAGGCGAUCAGAUACCGCCCUAGUUCUAACCGUAAACGAUGACAACCAGCGAUUAGUCGGCGUUAAUUUAUGACCCGACUAGCAGCUUCCGGGAAACCAAAGUUUUUCGUUUCCGGGGGAAGUAUGGUUGCAAAGCUGAAACUUAAAGGAAUUGACGGAAGGGCACCACCAGGAGUGGAGCCUGCGGCUUAAUUUGACUCAACACGGGAAAACUCACCCGGCCCGGACACCGUAAGGAUUGACAGACUGAGAGCUCUUUCUUAAUUCGGUGGGUGGUGGUGCAUGGCCGUUCUUAGUUGGUGGAGCGAUUUGUCUGGUUAAUUCCGAUAACGAACGAGACUCUGGCCUAUUAAAUAGCCGGUAUAUAUAGAAAAGUUUACCGCGCUUCUUAGAGGGACAACCGGCGUCUAGCCGCGUGAAAUAGAGCAAUAACAGGUCUGUGAUGCCCUUAGAUGUCCGGGGCUGCACGCGCGCUACACUGAAAGAAUCAGUAUGCGCAUUCGCCUAGUUCGGAAGAACCGGGUAACCCUAGCAAAUUCUUUCGUGCUUGGGAUAGGGAAUUGCAAUUAUUUCCCUUAAACGAGGAAUUCCCAGUAAAUGCGGGUCAUAAGCUCGCGUUGAUUACGUCCCUGCCCUUUGUACACACCGCCCGUCGCUACUACCGAUUGGAUGACUUAGUGAGGUCUUAGGACCGAAGUGAAGGAGCUUUAAUUAGUUCUUUUACUUGG
rnacentral:rRNA from 1 species